rnacentral:rRNA from 1 species
GGGGGGGGGGGGGGGGGGGCCGAGCGCGUGCAGGGCGGGCGGGGUCUUCGGGGCUGGUGGCGGGCGGGUGCGUCACGCGUGGGCAUCUGCCCUCAGGUUCGGACUAACCCUUGGGACCGAUGGCUAGUACCGGGUGAUGGCGUUACGUCCAAAGAUUUAUCGCCUGAGGAUGAGCCCGCGUAGGCUUAGCUAGUUGGUGUGGUAAAGGCGCACCAAGGCGACGAGCGUUAGCUGGGCUGAGAGGAUGAUCAGCCACACUGGGACUGAGACACGGCCCAGACUCCUACGGGAGGCAGCAGUGGGGAAUAUUGGACAAUGGGCGAAAGCCUGAUCCAGCAAUGCCGCGUGAGUGAUGAAGGCCUUAGGGUUGUAAAGCUCUUUUACCCGGGAUGAUAAUGACAGUACCGGGAGAAUAAGCUCCGGCUAACUCCGUG